GCCCUAGUAACGGCGAGUGAAGCGGCAACAGCUCAAAUUUGAAAUCUGGCUCUCGGGCCCGAGUUGUAAUUUGUAGAGGAUGCUUUUGGUGCGGUGCCUUCCGAGUUCCCUGGAACGGGACGCCAUAGAGGGUGAGAGCCCCGUCUGGUUGGAUGCCAAUCCUCUGUAAAGCUCCUUCGACGAGUCGAGUAGUUUGGGAAUGCUGCUCUAAAUGGGAGGUAUAUGUCUUCUAAAGCUAAAUACCGGCCAGAGACCGAUAGCGCACAAGUAGAGUGAUCGAAAGAUGAAAAGAACUUUGAAAAGAGAGUUAAAAAGUACGUGAAAUUGUUGAAAGGGAAGCGCUUGUGACCAGACUUGGGCUUGGUUGAUCAUCCAGGGUUCUCCCUGGUGCACUCUUCCGGCCCAGGCCAGCAUCAGUUCACCCCGGGGGAUAAAGGCGCCGGGAAUGUGGCUCCCUUCUGGGAGUGUUAUAGCCCAGCGCGUAAUACCCUGUGGCGGACUGAGGUUCGCGCAUUCGCAAGGAUGCUGGCGUAAUGGUCAUCAGUGACCCGUCUUGAAACACGGACCAAGGAGUCGUCUUCGUAUGCGAGUGUUCGGGUGUCAAACCCCUACGCGUAAUGAAAGUGAACGCAGGUGAGAGCUUCGGCGCAUCAUCGACCGAUCCUGAUGUUUUCGGAUGGAUUUGAGUAAGAGCAUACGGGGCCGGACCCGAAAGAAGGUGAACUAUGCCUGUAUAGGGUGAAGCCAGAGGAAACUCUGGUGGAGGCUCGCAGCGGUUCUGACGUGCAAAUCGAUCGUCAAAUAUG
rnacentral:rRNA from 1 species